UGGCGGCCAAUGGCCCAGCAGUCAAGAUGGGUGAGCAGAGCAGGCAAAGGUGUUGUAGUGAGGUACUGUUGUGGUGGGGUGUGGUUUUGGCAUCACCUCAAGGUGUGGUUGUCUCAGGUUUUGCAGGAAGUUGUGAAGAGGAGAAGUAGAGUGCUGAGAAGAGCCCGAGCAGGUAUGGUGUGGGCCUUUCCCAAGCGUGGCUGAGGAUUUCAGGUGCCAUGGGCUUCCCCCCAGCCAGGAUGCUGGUGUUUGGAAUUGGCGCAGUUCAGGUGAAGGCAAAUGUGGCAAGCAAAGGAAGAUCGGAGAAGAUGGGUCUGCCAUUGAGGAUGGCUCUUGAGGACCGAUGGUGAUGCAGAGCACCGGAAGAGCUAAGUUGAUGGGCAAAGGGUGUUGGGGU